UACGUAGGGGGCCAGCGUUGUCCGGAUUUAUUGGGCGUAAAGAGCUCGUAGGCGGUUUGUCGCGUCUGCCGUGAAAGUCCGGGGCUCAACUCCGGAUCUGCGGUGGGUACGGGCAGACUAGAGUGAUGUAGGGGAGACUGGAAUUCCUGGUGUAGCGGUGAAAUGCGCAGAUAUCAGGAGGAACACCGAUGGCGAAGGCAGGUCUCUGGGCAUUAACUGACGCUGAGGAGCGAAAGCGUGGGGAGCAAACAGG
rnacentral:rRNA from 1 species